rnacentral:ncRNA from 2 species
UUUAAUCUUCGGGGUAGGGUGCAAGUCCCAACCGGCGGUAUAGUCCGCGACCCGCAUAUGAUGCGGCUGAACUGGUGACUCGUCUGUGAUGGCAUUACAGAAUGGGAAUUCCGGUACCGACAGUAAAGUCUGGAUGAGAGAAGAAGUUC